AAUUAUGAUGGACCUCGGCCUCUCCCUGCCUUGCACUCAAACUUGGGGAAAAAUACAGUAGAAUUAUGAUAGCAGCUUUGGCUUCACUAUUUUUUCCAGUGUAAAUGAAGAGUCACGUGGUGGAAUAGGAAGAUAGAAUCUGUCUUCAAACUUCGUGGAAAUCUAGUUUGGCAAAGUGGAAGCACAGGUCCUUCGGAGAUGUCAGAAAGAAGAGAAGGUUAUCUAGUUGCAGCCCAGCCUCUCUGAGCUAGCAGGUUUUCACCCCAGCCUUUGAAUCUUGAGUCUUAUUUGUACGUAGAAUGAUAGAGCUAUAGCUAAAGCUACCUUUAACCAAAGUGACAGAGCCAGUACUUGGGGGAACAGAACUCCCUCCAGGCUAUGGCCUGAGCAUCCAGGCCGCUGCUAAAGAAACAGGCUGGUAACUGUAGAGUUGCAAUUGCUGGCUGAAAUAUCAGUAAAUUAAGGCACAGCCACUGUACUGAAGUUAAAACAACAGCUUUGAUAAAGAGAAGAUGCCAAAUUGUGAAGGAUAAAUCAAUUAUUAUUGACAUGCGGGCGCUCUGCGUGUUUCGUGAGGGAUGAAGCAAACGGAACACGUUUCUGCUUCAAAAGCUCGUUUUGACCACAAUAUAGAAAGUAAAGAACAGGGGCGGAAAAGAUACCGUUCAGAAAGUGAUUACAAUCACAAAAUGGGACACUAGCGAGGACUGGCAGACUGGGGUAUUUCUGACUGAGAACGUAACUAGACUGAUCCAACCUUCAAACUCACAGCCUUCCUUGCUCUUCUGAAGGAACCGCACAGCCUGUCACUGAAGAACAGAUAUUGACUCACUGCCUUAAGUCAACUCGACUUCUCGUCAGUGCAGUAUAAAGGUUUUCUGUAACAUUUUUCUUGAGACUGUGAUUUUUCCAUCUACUGAGUAAUGACAACCUCUCUACACCUUAAGGUGAAGGGAGCAUUGGCCUUUGUGAGGGGGUAUAACGGGGCUGCCAUUUCUGCGAACCCCGGUAUCCAGAGGCGGCAGAGGCCUGCACUCCCUAGGAACUCUCUCAGCUUCUUAGCACUAUAGGGCGGAGGUAUGAGAGCCACGGCCUGUUUGCGUCCCUCGGUCAGCCAUCUCCGGCCCCCUCGUAGAAGAUACCCCAAGGCCCCGGUACCUCGAAGGCAUCCUUGUUCCGUCUCAGCUGCCAGGAGCAGGUCAUCUACAUAUUGGAGGAGGGUCACAUCUGGGUGGUUAACUCAAGGUCCUCCAGGUCCUGCCCGUAGGACCUAAGAAUCUCGACUCUACGAUUUUGGCCUUGACUCUUAUGCUAACCUGGGGAUACAGCAGGCAAUUUUGUGAGGACCAGCGGAGCCACUGGACACACAGCAAACGCUGAGUCAGAACCUCUUCUGUGCCACCAGGCUUAGGAUUUCCCCUUAAAUCAGGCCGUGCUGGAAGUUCUCUGCCGGCCUCUCUGCAAUCUUCCUUUUCCUCGUCUAUCUCCGCCCACUCAAGCUCGUGGGUGGAGGACUGUUGUGCGCCUCACUGGAGCUACCCCGAGCCCUGCACUGCCACCCACAGCGUCCCGUGGGCAAACGCGGCCCGAGUGGAACCCUCUCUACUACUCUCCACUUUCCAUUUCUAAGCUCUGUUAAAAAAUAAAAUUAAAUUUU